GCAAAAAAAAUUACACCCUUAUGCAUAUGAGAAAAUCUAACAUUGGGACUGCUUGUUUCUUUUUUAUAUUUUAGUGGAUUAGGUGAUAGUAAGGUUACGUGUGAAAACUCUGGGACUGUUUUUUUAAUAUAUAUAUAUAAUGGUACAUGUGUUAGUAGGAGUGGGAAUGGAUAGGGGUAUUCAUAAUAACCAUCUAUAGUUGCAUAGCUAUUGCUCGUAAAGGUUGAGCCUUCUACAAGUUGAUGCCAAACCUAUCUUUCAUGUCCAUGCUCUCUGGUGUAAU
rnacentral:misc_RNA from 1 species